UGCCUUCUCCCUCCCGGACGCUACCAGAGGAGCGGCCUCCACCCGGGCUGCGCGCUGGCCUUGGGCCCAGGGCCUUAAGCCAUCGCAAACAUUUACUUCGGGGCCGGCUGAUGGAAGGUUAAAUGUUCAAACCGGGAAACCGCGGGCUGCAUUGGGGGCCGCGGCGGGCGAGGGGCGGGGCGCGGCACGGGGCGCAGCCCCCGGCCGUUCCCGGGUGUCUCUCCCCGGCAGCCCGGGCUGGGCACCAGGCGGCGCGCGGGCUUGUUUGCGGGCGGGGGCUGCAGCCGGGCGGAGACGACCCGAGCCCGCGGGGGUGGGCGGAGGUGGGGCCGGGCUUCCGGACAGAAGCCAAUCGAUGCCCUCGGAGCCUGUAGCGCAGGCCCAGGGCAGAGGCUGCGGGAGCGCGGAAGAGGUGCCGUGGGCUGCCGGGGGGUGCAGGGGGCCGUGGGUAGCGGAGGAAGCCUGGGUGCAGGGGACGGCCGGGGUGCGCAGAGGCUGCCUCAACACCUAGAGGUCUGGGGUGGGGGGGGGUUGGCGUACAGCGGGGUGGCGAGGCCGAGGCUGGGUGCUGGGGGAAGGGCGACGGCUUGGAGUGUAGAGGAGGGGUGAGGGGCGUAGGGCGCUGGAGGUCAGAGGUCUCUCAAGCGCGAAGGAGGGGAGGGUUUUGGAGCUCUUGGGGGUGGGUCCGCCGAAUGGGGGCGCCGAGUGCUGGGGAGUACAGGUCCAGGCGCGGCGGGUCGCGGGGACACCGGGGCUGCCCCAGAACUGAGGACAGACGGAGGCGGGGGCGCAGGCUGGGAGGCGGGGGCGCAGGCUGGGAGGCUGGGGCUUGGGAGCGCGGUCAAAGGCAGAGGCUGUGGUUGCGCGGGGGAAGGGAGACGUGCAGGGCGUGGAACGGAUUCGGGGGCUCUCGGGGAGGAGGGCGAGGGGCGCAGGGGUGGGCCGGGGGGGCCUGGAGUGACGGGGGAAGGGGCGUCUGGCCGGUGGGCGCGGGCAGAAGCAGCGCAACCAAGCUCGGAGGAGGUGCAGAUCCCGGGGUCCGGGAGCUCAGGGGUGGGCCAGGGAGUGGACGGGGCGGGGUAACCGGGGAGCGCCAGCUGGGGUGGGGAAAGAAGAUGCCCAGAACUCCAAGCAGGUGCGCGGGGCGGCGGGGCGGCUGCUCAUACCGCAGAGGUCGCUCGGGGUUCCGGGGGCGAUGUCGUUGCUGGGCACUUGAGUAAUUAAACGCAGCGGGGUCGCAGGUGACAGCGGGGAGGACAGGGGAUCAAGGGGACCCUGGCCAGAGGGCAGGAGGCUGACCUUGAGCGCCACGGAGGCAGUGCGGGGAGGGCCGGGGUCCCGUGGGGCGCAGUGACACCGGGUGCGUAGCUGGCCGGGGGUGACGCUGGCGGCGCCUGAGGCUCAGGGUGUCGAGACCGCCACGCGGUCGCCCGCAGGCCUGGAAGUCCACGCCGGUUCCUGGAGACGGCGCCUCUGCUCUGAGGGUUCCGUGGUGGGGAAGUCUACCCACUGCACCCCGGCGCCCACUGCACGCGGCCCGGAGGACCAUGUCGGAUGGAGACCCAAGACUAUCAUUACUCACCUGCAAUUAAUUUUCCUCAGGACUGGUCCAGCAUUUCAGUCAGAAAUGAAAGAGCACCUGCAGAAGGAGUCUGAGAUCUCAGAGGGAGCAUGCAUACUACUUUGAUCUAAUAAUUUUAAACAAUAAAAUUGAGGAAAAUGAUUAGACAUCUGGAAGAAGCUGAAUGGGCAACCAGCUCUCUUCACCACUCCCAGCUUAUAUUCCUCGGCAGUGUGUCCUGAACCAUUGAGACUGCUUUGACCCUCAGAAUCUGGAGAAAAAUGCCGAUGGCCCUCAAAGAGGCCACCAAACUCCAAACAGGCAGGCAACCAGAGCCUCAAGACAAGCUAAGAACCCUUAAUUAAACAGAGCUCUAGAAGGAAUCUGACUGCCGUUUUCCUAAAAACAA